AUUCACGCUGGCGGCGUGCCUCAUCCCUGCAAGUCGCGCGCACAGACGAGGAGCUUGCUCCUCUGACGUUAGCGGCGGACGGGUGAGUAACACGUGGAUAACCUACCUAUAAGACUGGGAUAACUUCGGGAAACCGGAGCUAAUACCGGAUAACAUGUUGAACCGCAUGGUUUAACAGUGAAAGACGGUCUUGCUGUCACUUAUAGAUGGAUCCGCGCCGCAUUAGCUAGUUGGUAAGGUAACGGCUUACCAAGGCAACGAUGCGUAGCCGACCUGAGAGGGUGAUCGGCCACACUGGAACUGAGACACGGUCCAGACUCCUACGGGAGGCAGCAGUAGGGAAUCUUCCGCAAUGGGCGAAAGCCUGACGGAGCAACGCCGCGUGAGUGAAGAAGGUCUUCGGAUCGUAAAACUCUGUUAUUAGGGAAGAACAAAUGUGUAAGUAACUAUGCACGUCUUGACGGUACCUAAUCAGAAAGCCACGGCUAACUACGUG
rnacentral:rRNA from 1 species